AUAAAGGAACUGAAGCAGCUUCGUGCGGUGCUAAAGGGCUCAAGCUGUGAACUGAGUUUAAAGAAUCAAGGUUAAUUCGCAGCUCUGGUCUCUAAAUUUAAAAGGAGUGACAAGUCAUCAGAUGAGGAAGAUGGGGACAUUUCACCUCAAAACGUUAAACCAAAGGAGCAAGCUGAAGCUGGUCGGCACAGAUAUGAAGGGACAGAUGUUUAAUUAUUAUACAGCGUCUUGACAAACUCAAAGAAGGUUCCUAAACCUGCUCGAAAGAAAAUGUGAAGGAUGUCUUAAGUAAGGAAUAAUGUCCAGGCAGCCGGUUGUUAUGGCAGAAAUAAUCCCCGACAGUGUGAUCAGGACGUGAAGCAGAGGGUCUUGUAUCUCACUGAAGGGGAUUAUUUCACAAUAACAGCCGGCUGCUUGUACAUUAUCCCGCUUAUUACACGGCUGCUUGGCACAUGAGAAAAAAACUGGACAUGAAAUGUGAAUUUGAAAUAUUUUAUUAGCUCAUUUUUACCGAAUGCAGACCUUUCGUGAGCAAAAGCUCUCACUUUCGUUUCUAACGUAAGAAACGACGUUCAAAUGUCACGAACAGGCA